rnacentral:rRNA from 1 species
CCAAGGAGUCUAACAUGUGCGCGAGUCAUUGGGACCGCAAAACCUAAAGGCAUAAUGAAAGUGAAGGUCGACCUUGCGUCGACUGAGGGAGGAUGGGUUGCGUUACGAUGCAGCCCCGCACUCCCGGGGCGUCUCGUACUCAUUGCGAGUAGAGGCGCACCCAGAGCGUACACGUUGGGACCCGAAAGAUGGUGAACUAUGCCUGGUCAGGACGAAGUCAGGGGAAACCCUGAUGGAGGUCCGUAGCGAUUCUGACGUGCAAAUCGAUCGUCGGAACUGGGUAUAGGGGCGAAAGACUAAUCGAACCAUCUAGUAGCUGGUUCCCUCCGAAGUUUCCCUCAGGAUAGCUGGCACUCGCGUGAGUGAGUCUCAUCUGGUAAAGCGAAUGAUUAGAGGCCUUGGGGCCGAAACGACCUCAACCUAUUCUCAAACUUUAAAUGGGUGAGAUCUCUGGCUUGCUUAAACAGUGAAGCCACGAGAUUUCGGAUCAGAGUGCCAAGUGGGCCAAUUUU